UGCAGUUUGGUGUAAUGGUCAGCACUCUGGACUCUGGAUCUGGUGAUCUGAGUUCACAUCUCAGUGGAA